rnacentral:rRNA from 1 species
GCUAGGAUGAACGCUAGCGACAGGCUUAACACAUGCAAGUCAGGGGCAGCACGGGAGUAGCAAUACUUGGUGGCGACCGGCGCACGGGUGGGUAACGCGUAUGCAACCUACCUAUCAGAGGGGAAUAACCCGGCGAAAGUCGGACUAAUACCGCAUAAAACAGGGGCACCGCAUGGUGAUAUUUGUUAAAGAAAUUCGCUGAUAGAUGGGCAUGCGUUCCAUUAGGUAGUUGGUGAGGUAACGGCUCACCAAGCCGACGAUGGAUAGGGGAACUGAGAGGUUGGUCCCCCACACUGGUACUGAGACACGGACCAGACUCCUACGGGAGGCAGCAGUGAGGAAUAUUGGUCAAGUGGGCGGGAGCCUGAACCAGCCAAGUCGCGUGAAGGAAAGAAGGAUCUAUGGUUCGUAAACUUCUUUUGCAGGGGAAUAAAGUGCAGGACGUGUCCUGUUUUGUAUGUACCCUGAGAAUAAGGAUCGGCUAACUCCGUGCCAGCAGCAGC